rnacentral:rRNA from 1 species
UGGGGAAUUGUUCGCAAUGGGCGCAAGCCUGACGACGCAACGCCGCGUGGAGGAUGAAGGUCUUCGGAUCGUAAACUCCUGUUGCCCGGGACGAAUGGCUUCGACCUAAUACGUCGGAGUAUGACGGUACCGGGUGAGGAAGCCCCGGCUAACUCUGUGCUAGCAGCCGCGGUAAUACAGAGGGGGCAAGCGUUGUUCGGAAUUACUGGGCGUAAAGGGUUCGUAGGUGGCUUGCUAAGUCAGACGUGAAAUCCCUCGGCUCAACCGGGGAAUUGCGUCUGAGACUGGCGAGCUUGAGUGCAGGAGAGGAACGCGGAAUUCCAGGUGUAGCGGUGAAAUGCGUAGAUAUCUGGAGGAACACCGGUGGCGAAGGCGGCGUUCUGGACUGCAACUGACACUGAAGAACGAAAGCCAGGGUAGCAAACGGGAUUAGAUACCCAAGUAGUCCCUGAGCGGGCUGGCAAGGCGCAU